rnacentral:rRNA from 1 species
AGAGUUUGAUCCUGGCUCAGGAUGAACGCUAGCGAUAGGCUUAACACAUGCAAGUCGAGGGGCAGCAUGGUCUUAGCUUGCUAAGACUGAUGGCGACCGGCGCACGGGUGCGUAACGCGUAUGCAACUUGCCUCACAGAGGGGGAUAACCCGUCGAAAGACGGACUAAUACCGCGUACACUUGGGAUAGGGCAUCCUAACCCAAGGAAAUGAAAUUCGCUGUGAGAUAGGCAUGCGUCCCAUUAGCUAGUUGGUGAGGUAACGGCUCACCAAGGCGACGAUGGGUAGGGGAACUGAGAGGUUGAACCCCCACACUGGUACUGAGACACGGACCAGACUCCUACGGGAGGCAGCAGUGAGGAAUAUUGGUCAAUGGGCGAGAGCCUGAACCAGCCAAGUCGCGUGAAGGAUGACUGUCUUAUGGAUUGUAAACUUCUUUUAUACGGGAAUAACAAGAGUCACGUGUGACUCCCUGCAUGUACCGUAUGAAUAAGCAUCGGCUAACUCCGUGCCAGCAGCCGCGGUAAUACGGAGGAUGCGAGCGUUAUCCGGAUUUAUUGGGUUUAAAGGGUGCGUAGGCGGCCUGUUAAGUCAGCGGUGAAAUCUAGGAGCUUAACUCCUAAAUUGCCAUUGAUACUGGCGGGCUUGAGUGUAGAUGAGGUAGGCGGAAUGCGUGGUGUAGCGGUGGAAUGCAUAGAUAUCACGCAGAACUCCGAUUGCGAAGGCAGCUUACUAAGGUACAACUGACGCUGAAGCACGAAAGCGUGGGUAUCAAACAGGAUUAGAUACCCUGGUAGUCCACGCAGUAAACGAUGAUAACUGGGCGUAUGCGAUAUACAGUAUGCUCCUAAGCGAAAGCGUUAAGUUAUCCACCUGGGGAGUACGCCGGCAACGGUGAAACUCAAAGGAAUUGACGGGGGCCCG